UACGUAGGGGGCAAGCGUUGUCCGGAAUCAUUGGGCGUAAAGAGCGUGUAGGCGGCCCGGUAAGUCUGUUGUGAAAGUCCAGGGCUCAACCCUGGAAAGCCGAUGGAUACUGCCGGGCUAGAGUUCGGAAGAGGCGAGUGGAAUUCCUGGUGUAGCGGUGGAAUGCGCAGAUAUCAGGAGGAACACCUAUAGCGAAGGCAGCUCGCUGGGACGGUAUUGACGCUGAGACGCGAAAGCGUGGGGAGCAAACAGG
rnacentral:rRNA from 1 species